GAUGAAUGCUGGCGGCGUGCCUAACACAUGCAAGUCGAGCGGCAGCGCGCUUUACACUGAAUUCUGGCGGCUUCUGAGUAGUACAGAAGAUUUAUUCAAGAGUUUUGUGUAAAAUGUCGGCGAGCGGCGGACGGCUGAGUAACGCGUAGGAAUUUGCCCCAAAGUGAGGAAUAACUGCCCGAAAGGGUAGCUAAUGCCGCGUAUGGUCUUCGGAUUAAAGCCUUCGGGCGCUUUGGGAGAAGCCUGCGUUGGAUUAGGUAGUUGGUAGGGUAAUGGCCUACCAAGCAGACGAUCCAUAGCUGGUCUGAGAGGAUGAUCAGCCAGACUGGAACUGAGACACGGUCCAGACUCCUACGGGAGGCAGCAGUGAGGAAUCUUCCACAAUGGGCGAAAGCCUGAUGGAGCAACGCCGCGUGAAGGAUGAAGGCCUUCGGGUUGUAAACUUCUUUUAUGAGUGAAGAAUAUGACGGUAACUCAUGAAUAAGCACCGGCUAACUACGUG
rnacentral:rRNA from 1 species